AUACACUGAAAAAAAAAUAUUAGCGUUGUAUACGAAUUGCAUUGGUGAACGCAAAAUUUGCGUGCGACAACAAUUUAUUUACGCUCCAAGAAAAUAAAUUGUGCCCUGACCACAACUAUGUACGCUACGGAUAAAGUCUUGAAUUCGUGGCGGCGGAAAAUCGGUUGAUUUGGGCCGGGCACCAAUUUAUUUGUGCACGACGCAAAUAUAUUCGCGCCGUCCGGUAACAAGUUCGUGCCUACCCAUUCCCGUGUCCGUUAAAGAAAAAAUGGCGUCGGGUCGGCCACAGCUUCAUCGCGUCGGAAAAACUGAGGAGACUUCGUGGAAAGAAAUAGUUUUAAUUCAAUAAAUGAGAGCUCUCCUGUUUUGAAAUUGCCGCGAACUAAUAUUUACGCAUAUGAUUGGUGUCCGUGAGCCUUCGGCCUUGACUAAAUCCAUCGAUGGACUUGGACAGCUGCUGCUGCUGCACUGUGGCAGCGAGCCUCUAGACAGGUUUGAGAUGAGAUCCGUUCGCAUUCGGGAUGGAGAGACCUAUGGCGAGAAUAUGUAACAAAUCCGUCCCUCAACUGGACCAAUGGUGCCUGUAAGUAACAUUUUCAUUAUUUUUCUCUUCUUACAAGUCCUCGAUAUGCCUAUCUUUAAAUUACAUUUUGGACCUUUUCUCGAAUUUGAGUGAAUGAACAUAUGUAUUAUUCAAAAAUGCCAACACCCAAAAAGGCAAGCAAAUGAAUUGAAAAAGACUAUAGUUAAAAUUGAAAUUUAAUUGAAACAAAUAUGAAAUGUAAAGUUCUUGAGUGUUAGAAUCUCAAGAAGUGUUGCCCACGUUUCCAUAAACUUUAUUAUAUGUAGCUUUAUUAUUGAUUUAUUUAUAAAGAUUUAUUGAUAGUAGAUUUAUUUAUCAUAGAUUUAUUUAUUCCAAAAUACCAACACACAAAAAGGCAAGCAAAUAGAUUGAAGAAGACUAUAGUUAAAAUUGAAAUUACUUAACAAAGAUACCGGACAUUUGUGUUAGUAAUUGAAAAACUAGAUUUUCCCGGCUUUUUCGUUUCUCUAUUCCCGGGUGAUAAAAUUUCAUUAUAUUUCUUUGGAAAGAUUUCCAGAAAUUUUAGAAAUUCAUGAAAUAUUAGAAAUUUAUAAUUAAGAAUUAGAUCAAGGUAUCUUUCAUUUAAGAGCGUAUUGCAUACCU
rnacentral:lncRNA from 1 species